CACUCCGGUGGCCUAGUGGUUAAAGAGUCCGCCUCGGAUGCGUUAUGUCGUGGGUUCGAUCCCCGGUCGAGUCA